GAACCAAUACAAUAUCUGAAAAUAACUGGGAAAGAAACACUAGUGGAACAUACUCCAUUAGCUCAUCCCUACAUCUAAGCUAGAAUAUAAAAUAAAGGCAUCCUCAAAAGCAAGAGGACCUACCAAGUCCGGAUGAAUGCUCCACGUCCGGAUAACUUCAGCGUAGUCUCGUAAGCUCUAGUGUUCACCUGCACAUGCACCUAAAAGUAGAGAGUUAUAUGGAUUAGUACACACUUGUACUAAGUAUGGAUAUAUGCAAUCACACACCAAGGACAUGCAUGAUUAAGAAGAUCUCUCUCCUAAAGACAUGAGUUAUGAAAAGUCAAGUCAGUGGACUUGCCAAAUCGGAUUAGAAAGUCAUGCUAUGAGAGUAACAUGCAUCAUCGUAAAUAUCAUUUUGCAAACAACACAUAACAUAUUGCAUAUAUCAGACCACAUAGUUCAUAUCAUUCCUUCAUAUGCCAUGAUACCUUGGAAUCAUGGACUUGACAUUAAGACUUCCCAAAAUGAGGGCUCAACAUAUGGGACCUCAACUAGGGAGACUCAUUUAGCAAACACAGAGUCUGCUUCAUUCAUUCAUACGUACUUCAUUUUCAUUCAUUCAUAUACUAGUGCAAACACCAGCUAUACCUAGGAUGUAAUUUAAGACUUUCAUCGGGUUUGCUGUGCAAUGACCAAGAAUAACCUAGUGUCAUUACUUAACUCUAGAUCACCUCUUGAUUAUCCUAUCCUAUUCUCUCUUAACAUCUUUUCGUUUCAUCUUUACUCACCUUUCAUUAUUUGUUCAUCGUAUAACAUACAUAUGCUAUCUUGGAGUUUACAUUGAGGAACAUUGAUUCUAGGCAUAGACACAACUUGUCUCACUUGUGCUAGCCUAUCCUCAUGUAGCCACUCUUUCUUUGCUUAAUCAUCAUUUAGUAUAUAUAUACUCUCUUAGAAAUUUCAUUUAGUGACAAUGAUUUUUAGGCGUAGAUGCAGCUUAUCUCACUUGCACUAGCCUAUAGUUAUGUAGUCACUCUUUUCUUUACAUAUUAACUAUGAUUUUUUUUUGGAGUAUGCUUGAGAUUUGACUUUACAUCAUUCUACACUCUCCUUUCGUGAAUGUUCAUUUAGGAGGUUCACAUCAUUUCAUUACAUCCAUCUUAUGUUCACUAACUUUUAAACGUACGAUGGACUUAUGGAUCCAUACGCACAAUGCAUGAGGCUUCAUUCAUAAUUCGUCUAAGUGACCCAUACUUAUCUAAGAUUAUGUGGUACAAGACUUAUGCAUCUUGUUGGUAUGCCAAGAUCUUGAUUUUGACUCUUAGAGGCAGCAUUUAUAAAAUAUUUAUUCACGUAUGACUUAUGUGUCAAUAUGGAAUUGGGCAAGGGAGCUUGAUUUCGAAUUCCUUGAGCAACACUUAAUAUUAUAUUAAACUUGGUGAUUGCAUUUUUCAGAUUUGGGGGACCCUAGGUCGAUCCCCAUCAUCCCUAUAAUAUUUUCUUUCUUUUACCUCCUCUUUUUCUCGUUUAAGGUAAAGAGAUUGUGGGAUCAGUCCCCCACAAACUCAUUCUUUUUCUCUUAAUCUUUCUCUUAACUUUAUCCAAGAGGUUGUGGGCUCAAUCCCCACUUCCCUCAUUUUAUUUUUCUCUUUUAUAUUUCUCCUAACUCUCUCAUCUAUUCAAGAAGUUGUGGGUUCAAUCUCCACUCACCAAAUUUAAUUUUCUUUUCCUUUUUCUCAUGAACUUUUUAUGUAAUUUGCAUUUGGUGAGGUCUUGGGUUCAAUUCCCAAUGACCUCGUAAUUUUAAAAAAAAUUAAAACAUACCUCAUAGUUUAUAUAUUGAUUCUUGGAGUAAUUCGGGUGACAUUUUUUCAACAACAUUACCCUUAUAUGAACAUCACACUUUUAACAUUUACAUAUACGAAAACACAAUAUUUAUAACACACAAAUUUCAGGCAACAACAUAGUUAAUUUACAACACACCCAUGCUCAAACAAUUAACGUAAAACACUUUUCCGGAAUACAUCUUUCAUUCCUUACAUAAUUUCCAAAUACACAUUCAAUACAUAAUCACAACCAGACCUAAUAUUAUCUUCCAGAAGACAUACCAACGCAUGCUUUGAAUCUUUCAAAGUAUCUAAUGACAGGGGCAUGCAACGGGGACAACCUUAGUUUUUUAAUUGCGAUUAAAAUGAACCUUAAGGGUCUCUUGGAAAAGGGGCCAAGAGAGAAGAAAACUCAUACCUUAAUGUCGUUCAACACUUAUUUCAGUGCUGCCUAUUCCCACGACACCACUGCCUCACCACCAAAAUCCAAUCCGUCGAGAAGAAUGUUGUUGAUUUUCAUUUUUAGCUUAACUUUUUGUUUGAGUUUUUGUGUGUACGUUCUUCAAGAGUUUUUGUGGGCCACACUUGAUAAAAUCUUAUAUUAUAAUUUGCUUUUGGCCACGCUAUUGUGAAGGUAUAUAUGCAUUAAUUAAGCAUUUUUCCGAAGUAUUUUGUGUGGAAGAAAACAACACUAUUGACUCCUUCAAACAUUUGGUGCUCAAUAUCCUUCAUUAAAAUAAUACAAUUGUGGUACCCCAAUUUGAAUUAGGUUUGCAUAUCUUAGAUCAUUGUAUUUGACAUUUACUAGAUUGAAGUCUCAUUGAGCUAUUGUAUGUUCUCCUAGAUAUAUAAUUUUUAAACUUUAUUAACUAAUAAUAUAGAAUAUUUUUGUAUUUUGUAUUUGGAUAGUUAUAUUUGUCAUUAAAUGCUAGAUAAAACGUAGUCUUAUGGAAGUGCGUGAAAAUGAAGUGUUACAUUGGAAAAAUUCUAGAUACUUAACCAUUCUAAAUUCCUCCAUUUUGUUUUCAAAUACUAUCUUUUUAAUUUGUGAUAAAAGUUUUAGAAAAUAUUUUUUAAUUUGGGGUAAAUUAUUAGUUUCAAUUCUGAACUAUUGACAAUCUUUAUAAUACUCAUCUACUUGACUCGCUAAACUUAUAUACAAUCCGAUAUGCCAAAUAACAUAGGAAGUACUCUCAAACUCUUGUAGAGGCUUGACACUCUUAAUAAGAAGUUGAUAUUCAUGUUGAAAACACACCUAGAUUUGGCACGAAUUUGAGGGUGUAUUUCACUCAUGUUGCUAGAUCGUGGUGUGUUUAAGUUUCAUUAGUCAAGUAAAAAGGUGUUUUUAAGACUGUCAAUAGUCUGAAACAGAACUAAUAAUUCACGUCAAAUUUAGAAAUAUUUUCAAUAUUUUCUCUUUUUAUAGGGGUAAUUAUAUUUGUUGUUCAAUGCCCUCGUAUAAUAGGAGUGGUAUUAUUUUGACAGAAUUUACCUAUGGCAAGAGGGAAAUUGGUGAAAAUGACUGUUACCGAUCAAGAACAUUUAAAUCACUAAGCAACUGAGGUAUUAAACCAUUUGCCAUAAUUUUAAGGAAAAUUUAGCUAACUAGUCAAAAAAAUUAACUUAUUUAGUGAUAAUAUCCAUAAAUUAAUAAUAUUACUAAAUAUGUCAAAAAUGUCAUAAUUUUAAAAAUAAAUAAUUAUUCUGAUAUUAUUAAUAUUUUCUCUCUCAUUAUUUACACCUUUUUUUCUCUCUCAUAUAUUACACAUUUUCCUUAAGCUUAUUAAUUUCUCUCUCUUUUCUUAAGCUUAUUAAUUUCUCUCUCUUAUUUUCUUCCUAAUCAAAUCCCCAGAUUUCUCUCUCUUUUCUUAUUCUUCUUUUCAAUUUCUCUAUCUAACAUUCUUCCAAAUCAAUUUCACAGAUUUUCGAUUCAAUAUAUUAAUAUUUUCUAUUAUUCUCAUUUAAUUUCGUUGCAAAAUUUGAUAUGAAGAUUAACAUUGAUUUGGGUAUUAUUAUUUUUUUAGAUUCCUUAUUUAUUUACUUACUGAUUUUAGUAUUUUUUUAAUUUUUUAAAUUUUGUUGUUGUUCUUAAAACAUUUUUUAGGAUUUGAGACUACAUAAUUCUCUCUUCAAUGGACGUUUUCAAGAGAGAAACUAGAGGUAUUGGACAAAAUAAUCAAAGUUCUUCCGUUUUUUAUCAUUUAAUUUUUUUUCACUCAAGAAUUAAACAACAAUAUAGGUUUCGCUUCUAAAUCUAAGGAGGAUAUACGACGGGGAAAAAUGCCUGAAUCUGUCGAUGUGCAAAAUUCCACACAAAUUUUUUUCACUCAAGAAUUAAACAACAAUAUAGAUUUCGCUUCUAAAUCUAAGGAGGAUAUACGACGGGGAAAAAUGCCUGAAUCUGUCGAUGUGCAAAAUCCCACACAAAUUAAUAACCAUGAAGUUGAAGAAGACCAAUUUGUUGGAGAAGAGUUUUUUUUUUUUGCAUGUUCUGUGUCUUGCAUGUUUAAUUUAAUUUGUCUAGCAAUUUUUAAGAUUCAAAAAAAUUCAUGUUACAAUGCGUUUGGAAGUAUAUAUGAAAUUUUUAUUAUGUUAUAGUUAGUAUUUAUUUUUGUAUUUUAUAUAUUUAUUGUAUUUUGUGUUCUAUUUUUUUUUUUGUGUGUGUUAGUUAUGUCAAUGUAACACAUUAUAUGAGUUUGAUUGUGUAUAUUUCAUAGUUUUGAUGUUUUUUGUAUUCAUAAAUUUGGAAGUGUAUAUUGAAUUUUGUUGUUGUUUUAGUCAGUAUGUAUUUUUGUAUUUCAUUGUUAUAUUGUAUUUUGUAUCCAUAGAUUUGGAAUCGUAUUUCAUUUAUUUAAUUUAAUUUGUAUUCUGUUUUUUUCUGAUAGUUAUGUCAAUGUACCACAGUUAGUAUUUAUUUUUGUAUUUCAUAGUUUUAUUAUUUUUUGUAUUCAUAAAUUUGGAAGUAUAUAUUGAAUUUUAAUACUGUUUUAGUCAGUAUAUAUUUAUACAAUUAAUAGUUGUAUUCAUUCAAAAAUUAUGUUGCAUUGUUUCUGAAUUUGACAUUUUUUUUAAUUUGUAUUUAUUCUAAAAGUAUGUCAACUAGUUAUGUAUUUUAUUUAAGAAUGAGUACACCAAAUAUUCAAUUAUUUCUUUUCAAUUUUAUAUUUCAUUCACUUUUUCAUCAUACUAAUUUUUUGUAUUUUAUAUAUUAUUAUACAAAAUUCAAAAUAAAAACUGGAAUAAAUAGAAAUACAAAUAAAAUACAUAUUGAAAUGAAUACAUACAAGAAUUUCGAAGAAUAAAAUAACUAUAUAGGGAAAAAAAUAUAUAAAAAUGCAAAUACAUUUCUUAAAUGACUAUAUAGAUAAAUUUGGCAUAUUUAUUGGAAUGAAUAUAAAUUAUAAAAAAAACUAUAAUAAAUAUAAAUAGAAUAUAUUUUGGAAGGAAUAUAAUUUUAAAAAGGUAAAAAUUUUGGAGAGAAAAAAAAAUUAAAUUUUAUUUGAAAAUGUAACUGAUGAGAAAAUUAAGGAUGCUUACCUUUUUUUGAAAUAUUCUCUCCCUUAAUUUUAUCCCUUUUGUUAUUAAAUAAAUAUAUUCUUUAAAUAAAAACAAAUAAUAAAAACAUUAAUAAGAUACAUAACAAACUAAAAUAUGACAUUUUUACUAAAUAUUGAAAGUGUUGCUAAUGAGCCUUUUUAAAUGCUAAAAUAUUGACAUUUUGAAAAAUUCAUGGUACCCUAAUCUACUCCAACUUUUUUUUUUUAUCAUCAAUUUAAAUAGGAAAACUAGCAGAAAUAUCACUAGUUUGGAAGCAAAUUACUUAAGUAUACUUUAGUUUACAUAUUAUGAAUCUUACCAGAAUUUGAUGCAUCCGGAUAUGUCCAGAUACAUACAUCUCUAGAUAUUUCAGGUCAAAAUUAGGUAUAAUUUGUUCUUUAUACAUUGUAUUUCGUAAAUUCGCAUGUAUAUUUAUAAGUAAACAAAUCUUGUUCACCUCCUUCUCAUUCCACUUGUCAAUUUCCUCUGUAUCUUGUAUCUCAAAUACAUGUAAAUUGCGCGAAAUUCAUACAGAUACAUGUAUCUAAUGUGUAGCGAGGGUGAUUCGCAUGCAAGACUAUCUCCCCCCCCCCCCCUAUCUAGCUCAUUUCUCUUCCUAAUUUAGCGUAUCUGGUAGAAAUACAUAUGUAUCUAGGUGGUUUCCCUCAAAAUAUGAUAUGAAACUAUUAAUUGGUGGUAAAAUACGUAAUUAUUUAAAAUUAUAGAUAAAAUUAGUAUAUAUAGUUUAAAUAUAUGUUUAAUAACAUAGUUUUCCAUUAAUUAUAGUUUAAAUAUCGUUAUAAUGGAAGAGGUAUAUUUAAACCAAAAUUAUACCACGUGAGGAUAUAAUUGGAUCAACAAAUAUAAGGAGUGGUAUUUUUAAACUAGUUUUGAUAGUUGAAAGAUAUAUUUGAUCCUUUUCCAUUUUAUAAAUUCAUCCCUUUUAGAUACAAGGUAGAAUAUUAGUAAGCUUUGACCAUUGUUUGGUGGAAAAUAUUGCUAAUAUUAGAUUAAGAUUUGCAUCAAACUCGAUAAGGAUACAAAUUAAAAAUGAAUAUUCAAAUAUAUAUGGGUGUAUCUUUCUCAAUAUACAAUAGAAAAUUUUUAAUCAAUAGUAAAAUAUAUAAUUAUUGGAAAUUAUAGAUAGAAUUAGUAUAUAUGAUAAGUCUAUAUAUGUUUAAUAAGAUAAUUUUCCCAUUUAAAUAUGAUCUAAAGGUACUCUUUAUUAUAAUGAGAGAUGUGUAUUUAAACCAAAACAAUAACAUAUGAGUGUAUACUUAUACCAACAAAUACAUAUUUAAACUAUUUUAAUAGUUCAAAUUAAAGAAAUAUUUGACCCUUUUUCAUUUUGCAAAUUCAUCCUCUUAAAUACAAGGUAGAAUAUUAGUAAGCUUUGACCAUUAUUUGGAGGAAAAUACUACUAUUAAGAAUUGCGUCACAUUACAAAAAUGAAUAUUAAUUCAACUAUAUAUGUGGGGCUGCGUAAAGAAUAUAUUUUGAUAAAGGGAAAAAUUAGAUCUAGUGAGAUAUGGAAUUGAAUAGGAAAAACCAAUUGAGUGUCGUAAUGGUAAAGUGAAAUUGGGUCUUUAAAAGUGGGUAGGGUUGGAGAAAUGGAAGCAUGCUUCCACCAAUAAAUAGUAUUUUAUUGAUAAUUGCAUUGGUAGGUAAUGAGAAUAUUAAACCAUAUCUCAUAUUUUACUUUUUCAAAUGAUCGUAGUAUUAGGAUUAAUUUAAAUAUAUUUUAAAUUUGUUAUCUAUUGAUAUGAUAAGUUUCAAAAAAAACUUUUUCCAACUAGAGUUUGACAAAUGAGAUUAAAUUUUCCCUUAAUUAUUGAGCUCAUAUACAUCGAGUGUGUAACCUUAUUUUUUAUAUCAAUAUAUAAUAUUAGAUUAUAUUUACUUUUUUAAUAGGUGACAUGUUUUGUUUAAAAAUUAUUGAUCAAUUAUGAGAGGUUUACUAUAAGAUAUGUUAUUUGAGUAGCCUGAUAAUAUAAAAGUUUUCUUUUGAGUUUAAGAUAUAUACACUCACGUAAUAAUUUUUUUUAUCAUCACAUACUUAUUUUUUAUUUCUUAUAGCAGAUAAUCUAUCAUAUUUUAAAGUACAAAUCUCACCUAGUAGGAAAGCUUGUAUGUAAAAAAAAAAUACCUUAAGUGAUUGGUUGUGCAAAAAACAAUUUAUAAGUUAAUCUGUUUUCUUUGCAUAUUGUUGAUGUACACAAGUCAAACUCUAUUGUUUUUAUAUAGAGAACAUAUAUAGAUCAUUCUUUGAAGCCAAAAAGUUAUGUGAAACUUUAAUCAAAAAAGCUAAAUCUUGGAUAUUUGACAAAGGAAAAUGUUGUUAUAGAACAUAUCUAGUAAUAAUAUUCAAUAUGCCUCAUUCCUUGACUAAAAUUAUCGUUAACAUUCAAAUGCACAUUUAACAUUUUCAAACAUGAAAAUUCAAAUGUAUGAAUAAGAUGACUUCUUGCUUCCUACACCUUAAAGCAAAAUAGUCAAAGAAAUAUACCUACUUGACUCCUGAAUAUCACCUUUAUAUAUAGGCAUAAUCCUUCUACCCAAAAAAUAUUGCAAACACAAUACUUCAUUUUUUUUCUUAACAAAAAAUAAUAUGAAGUGCUUCAACUCUUGUUUGUUGGUUGUAAAUGUCUUGUUAAUAAUUCUCUUUGUUUUCUUUUCCAAUAACUUGAUGCAAGUUGAGGGGUUGAGACCUCUUAAAGAACAAACUUUCUCAUCAAUGGUAGAGAAUUUUGUUAUACAAAGAGCAUAUUCCGGGCCAAGUCAUCGUGGACGAGGUCACUAGGUAGCAAGUUCAAAGGUAUUGUUGAACAAUACUACAUAAACAUGGUGUUUAACUUGAGUUUAUCUAAUAUUUAUACUCUUCAAUUUUGAGUGUAUACAUGUAGACAUUUAAAUAGUAGAAAAUUCCGUUAUACAAAAAGCAUACUCGGGACAAGUUACCGUGGAUGUGGUCACUAGCUAGCAAGUUCAAAAUUGUUAAGCUAUUGUCUUUCUUCAAUACUUCAUUUUUGGUAUGUAUGUUUUAUGAUUUUCUUCUUAUAACCAUACACAAUUCAUUGAUACAAUGUAAAGAAUUGAUGAGACAAUAAUAUAACUAAAUUUAAUGUGCUUUGUACGAUUAUGCCAAUUUUUAUAAUGGAAAACCUUCUUGCUCAAAGGAAGAAGACCUACAAAAUAUAGGAUUUCAAAAACAACUUUCAGUAACUUCAAAGAGCGGUUUUACAUUAACAACUCCAUAACCUAAGCAACUAAUUACUAUGGGUGUCCAAUAUAUAUAUAAAAGAGAAUUCUAGACCCGCUUACGUCUCCUUCGUUCGUUAUUCUCUUACGAUUAACCUGCUCUGAUACCACUUGUCACGGCUUUUUUGAUUCUGACAAGACUCCCUGCGGCACUUGACGGUUUACUCAUGAUUCUUGCACGAUCUCGUAAACUCAAGUAAGCCUCUCACUGUUUGGAUCGCUAAGAGAAGUAAGAAGAAAGACAAUAGACAGAAUUUUGGAAGAGGGGACUUGUAUAGCAGCAUUUAUUUACUCUUAGUCAUUAGAGUAGUAUAAAUAGGAGAGUCAUUGUAUUUGUAAAUCAUCCAAUAAUCCAACAAAUAAUAUAAGUCCCUAAAUACAUGCACUCAAGACAUGUCUACAUUCCAAGAAUGUUUCUAACUCUUCCAAAAGGGACUCCUAGAUUUCUCUAGUCUGCCCCAAGGUUCUAGAGGGUCUGCACAAGCCUCUCCAAGGCUAAAGGCUGCUGCCCCUCCGUCUGCUGCAUGCCAGGACUGCCUGCCCCUUCGUCUGCUGAACUUUUGGGCCACCUGUCCCCAUUUGCAUGCUGCAAUCUGCUUGGAUAGGUGGCCAUCUGCCUGGAUAGAUGGCGGGACGUCACAAUCUCCCCCACCUAAUGAUGCGACGACCGCGUCGCAUUGCGACUGUAUCGGCGUCAAGUUCUGUCGUGCGAUCAUCAACUCGCGUACUCGAUUAAUCCCUUCGAGUAGCCUCUUCAUCGAUUGCCCGACCUUUCUCGAUCCGAUCUUUUGAACUUCUUCCUUCAUAGGAGGCAAGUGCCUCAGCGGCUUCUUUUUCAUCACGACAGAGUUCCUACUUGGAACCCUCAUGCGCGGUGGCAAAGUCUUUUCAGCACCAUUGUCUUCUCUCGAACUUGCAAUGGUUGCUGCCGAUGUUAACCUUUUCCUCUCGUCGAUUCACUCGAGCUUCAUGGCUGUUAGUCUAGUCUGUCCCUUCGUCGCCGAAGUGGCAGCACUCAAGGAAGACAGGGAGGUUGGUGGAUCCACAUCACUUUUGACCGGGAAAGGGAGGCCAGAGUCGAGACUCCCAAGCCACCUAUCUUUGAAGGCGUUCGCAACGCACAGAAGGUGGAGAAUUUCCUAUGGCACUUGGAGAAUUACUUCAAGUGUAUUCGGGUGCAAAGUGAUGUGAACAAGAUCAACACUGCGGUGUCGUAUCUUUCGAAGAUGGUCAUACUAUGGUGGAAACGUAAAGAGUCCGACGUCAGAAAGGGGAUAUGCACUUUGAACACAUGGGAGCAGUUCCGUGAGGAUUUCAAGAAGGCAUUUUAUCCCAACAAUGUCAUCUAUGAGGCAAAGCGCAAGUUUAGGGAGUUGAAACAAAAGGGCAGCAUACGCGCGUAUGUGCAGGAGUUCACCACCCUUACAUUUCAGAUUCCCAACCUCACGGAUGAAGACAUGUUGUUCCACUUCAUGGAUGGGCUGCAAAAUUGGGCCAGAACGGAGUUGGAGCGGCGACAGGUCCGGACUUUUGAUGAAGCCAUUAAGCAGGCCGAAGCCUUGACAGACUUCAGGCGAGAGAAGUCUCUUAGUGCCGAGGAAGACAACGAGGUAGAUAGUCAUGAUGAUAGUGGGGAAGAUUGUGGCGAAGGCGAGGAGCAACGGCCACAACCCAAGAGGCAUGACACCUACGAGUCCAACAGCAAGAGAUUCGAAGAUCGUGGCAACACGGUGAGGAAUCCGGAUGGUUGCUACAUAUGCAAAGGGUCGCAUAGCUAUAAAAAGUGCCCUCAACUGAAGAGUCUUGGUGCUAUCCUCCGUGAGCGGAAGAAAAAGGUAGCCCAAGAGGAAGAUGAAGUCGGGGAGACUAAGCCGUUGGGCUUGAUAAACCUAUGCGGAGCUAUCAUCGAGCAACCAUCGGAGGUGCCAAGGCAAGAGAAGCCAAGGCAAGCGCAGCCGAAGCAUGCUGAUCAGGGACUUGCGAAGUCUAUGGCAUGUGCUCAAUCUGUCGAGAUCACGAUCAAUGGGAAAAAUGCUCGUGCGUUGGUCGACACAGGUGCGGAGGUCAAUAUUAUGACCAAGACAGCAGCAACGAGGUUGGGGUUGCGAUAUAGUCCAUGCAACGCCCAAAUCAGGACUGUCAAUGCACCAUCGACUCCCAUAAUUAGAGUUGCGCACGGGGUGAACAUCACGGUAGGCGAUUGGCAAGGAAAAACCAAAUUCAUCAUCGCCCCCAUAAAUCUCUUUGAUAUUAUUCUUGGGCAGAAGUUCUUCCAGCAGUGCCAUGCGGUGAUCGAUCCUCAUCUCCAAAAAUUGACAAUCAUGGAGAAAGGAAGAGAAAUAUACAGUUCCCAUGGUAAAGGCACAAGCUACGGAGGGACAUACUAGACUAACAGCCAUGAAGCUCGAGUGGGUCGACGAGAGGAAGAGGUUAUCAUCGGCAGCAACUAUUGCAAGUUUGAGAGAAGACAGUGGUGCUGAAAAGACUUUGCCACCGCGCAUGAGGGUUCCAAGUAGGAACACUGCCGUGAUGAAAAAGACGCCAUCACAAAGUAGAAUUCUUUUUUAAUUUAUUUAUUUUCAUGACUAGCCUUCCCCUCCUCUGAGAAACCUAUAUAUAUAUAUAUAUAUAUAUAUAUAUAUAUAUAUAUAUAUAUAUAUAUAGAAGAGAAUUCUAGACCCGCUUACGUGACGCCAUCACAAAGUAGAAUUCUUUUUUAAUUUAUUUAUUUUCAUGACUAGCCUUCCCAUCCUCUGAGAAACCUUCGCAACUGUCACAACCAUAUUACAAAUUAAGCCUCCACCAAAUCUUCCAUAUGUAUAAAUAUCACCCCCCUUUGAAUUUUUUUAAACAAAUGAUCGCCAGUAGGAAGGAAUACUAUGCCAAACUUAAUUUUAACCAACUGAUACAAAAAUGAAAUUUUGGGUCAAAUUAUGUGAGUUAGUUGACCCAGAUGAAUAUAUAUAAGUUAUACCUUGAAAUUUUUCUUUUUAAUUAUGGAAUUGUGAAUGUUUCUCCUUUUAUCCUAUGUAUACUUGCAUUGUUGGAUGCAUUACUCUACAGUUUCUCCAUAGUCUUAUUUUACCUUUGGUGAUUCGAGUUUAAUCAUUUUUGUCUAGGGGUGGUACAAUAUAGAUUGAAGGUCAAUCUCAUUUAUUAGAGCUUUGAAUUGAUAUGUCAAGUACACAUUGUUGGAUUUUAAAAGAUGUGAAUGAAAUAUAAAGCAUUGUCAAUUUCAUGAAAAAUUAUUAUUUUUAUAAAAAGUUAUGACUUUUAUAAAAGAUUGCGGCUUUUAUGAAAAGUUUGUAACUUUUAUGAAAGGUCGUGACUUUUUCAAAGAGUUAGGACAUUUCUAAUAGGCACAAUAAACAUUUGUUCACGCUAACUUUUUUGGUCAAUAAAUAGGGGGAUUUUCUCUCAUUUUAAAACGACGAAAGUUCUAAACUUCUUCUUCUUUUGCAUAAUUAAAUAAUCGUGUACUUUAUGCUCCUGUUGAAUGACUUACUGAUACCAUUGUUUUUGUAUUAAUACACUGGUGAAUAAAAUCAUUCUAUCCUGAGAGGAUCAAUUCCUUUAAACCUCAAGUACUAGAGGUGAAAUAAUUUCCUUAAGGGGGUUGUGUUUUCAGUGGACUCAAUUUUUUCUUUAUGUUUCAUUCUAUUGUUAUAGGAUUUGGUAUAUUUUUUACAGUUAUUUAUUUAUGCUUAUGCCAUUAAUUGCUAUUUUUAUUACAUGCUUUAAAAUUUAUUGUUUAUGUUUCUGCAAAAUUAUUAUUUGUUAUAUAAGUACUUUGUUUUAAACGUUUUUGAAAAAUAUUAUAUUUAUAUAUUUUGACUUUUUUGGAGUCGCCAUUUAAUUUUAAAAAGAAAAUAAGAAAAAACUAUAUUUUCAAAAGACUUAAACAGAAAAAUCAUUUUGAAACUUUAAAGGGGUUCCGAAAUUCCUAUUUAUAUUUUAGGAAAAUUUACGGAACCUAAAAUAUUUACUAACUCGUAAUUAUCCAACAACUAACUCGUUUGGCUAAAAGAUCUUACUUUAAUUUUAAGAUGAAAUUAAAUAAGGUUGCUUUAAAAAUUAAGUAUUAAUCAUACUAUCUAAGUGAGUUAUAAUUCGUAAAAUUUACUUUUAAGUCAUUUGCUUGGUUUGAUUAAAUUAAGUUGUUUAAAACAAAAUAGCGUCUUGCGGGAUUUCGAUUCAUUAACCCUAAGAUUAUUGACAAUUAAAUAACACUAAUUAAGCAAAUACCGGGAGAGAGAGAGAGAGAGAGAGAGAGGGAGAUUGGGCCCAAACCUGGGUUCUAUCCGCCUGGACCGCAGUUUGGACUCAUUUCCGUUUGUAGGUGUUAGGCCCACUCGACUUGUACCUGUCCUAAACUAGUGAAAUAAAAAUAAGUAAACUUACAAGGCCUUAAGCCUAAAACUAACAAAAUACGACAUAAAUAAAUACAAAAUAUAGGUUUUUGGCCACCAAAAACUUCAACUAUUUAAUGGCUCCAUUUUCCUCGAUUUUGGGAAACUGUCCGUCAAUUUUAAAGUUGGGAGACUUGAUGGAGACGUUGAGCCUUUACAACUCUCGAAAAUGCGGGAAUAAAACGAAGUCCACGAGGACUUGGAUGGAUUUUUACAUGCAAACAAAGAAUAAUAAAGUGAAUAAUAAAUCUUGAUUCAAGGUGAGAGGAUGUCAAGUAGAGAAAGCAUAUAUGUUACUAUCCUUUAAUGCUAACACCGUAGAAAAAGACUACAAGGAUCAACUAAUGACUAAAUGAUUUUAAAAAAUCACGUAACCUAAUAAAAACCGACAAUGAGUAUCAAGAGAAUAAAUAAAUUUUCCAGCCAUGGAUAACAAACGGCAAGGGGACUAAAGCAUACUCUUCAAAGCUAGAAAAAUUUAAAUGAAAAUGGCAAAUUAUCAAAGAAAAAUUGCAAUUAUGAUCUUCACAUUUAGAGCUAAGAUCAGAUUCCUUGUUAACUGCUAACCCAACAUAAUAUCCAGAAGCCAACAAACCAUUUGAGCAAAUUAGUCAAUAGAUCAAAGAUUCGCAACAUCGAACAACAUGCAGGGGACAUCAAAUGAACAUAACUACCGACCGAAUCAAGGGACACAUGACUACAUAUGCUAAGACGCUUCACACAAUAAAGAAAACACCAAAGCGUAGUGGUAGCUUAGGCAGUUAAGGCUAUUAGUGAUUAAAUGGACAAGGAACUGGGCAUAUUUAUGCUGACAAAAGCAGACCCUUAUGAUUGAUAUCAUUAAGCUUAAAAUGCAAUAAAUAUUUGGACAAAGACAUUGAGGAAACUGUGUAUCAAUAAAAAAACGCUUGAGUAUUUGAACAGAAAAUUUCAGCUGACCAGAUCAGUAAAAUGUUCCUAUUUUUGCAGAAAAUUUCAGACAUGGAUAAGGGAAGGUUUUUAGCGUUUUUUUUUUCACCACUUCAAGUGAAGGGAGAAAGUAGGCAUAGACAUGCAGAGAGACUACAUCAAGCUUCAGGACAAGAUUCACAUACCAAAUCACACAUUUGACAUCAAGCGAGAAAGAAUUAAAACUAAAUAUUAUCACGUCAUUACAAACGGAGAUAGACUAAGAUGAGUUGAACAUUUUGAGAAAUAAACCAAAUGCAAUCAUCAAAAUCUAGAAAUAAGCCAAAGGUUAACAAUUUUAAAGCUAGAAAACCUUUUCAAACACAUGUACACCAAGCAAAGAGAAAUAUACUUCUAUUUAGACUCCAAAACUAAUUAACCAACAGUCCAGUACUAAAUUUUCUGCAGUAGUAACAAACCAAAGAUCAAAAGAUCACAUCGAAAACAAAAUGUUUGCCAAAAGGCUAAGUAUGACUUAUUUGGAAAACGAACAUGCAAGAUGGCAAAGGAAACUCAAACCAGACAAAACUAAUAAGGCAAAAAACUCGAUAAGUGAGACAGUAGAGCUUGAAUAAAGUCUUAAGAACACAACAAUUGAUCAUGUAAUCUCAAUUGAAUGACGACAAUGGCAGUCAAACACAAUAGCCAUUUCAACAUAGAGAUACUUCAUUCGAGUGACUAGAAUAGAGAAUGAUAUAUUCGACAAAAUGAGAUAAGUUUAUUACCUCUUAUAGUGCAGCGAUUUUGGGAUGGUUGAUGAGUUCAGAGAGACACUUCCACUAACACAAAACUUGAACGUGAAUGCUCAAUCGGAUCCUACAAUGAAACUCAAAAAUGCGAAAAAGAGAGCCUCUACAAUAUGUUCUAUGAAGGAUUAUGGCGUUGGAGUUUUCUCUCUACUUUGUUCGAGAAAAAAAAAUGUCCAACCAAAAAGAAAAUAUCUAAUAACUUGCCUUUUUCAAAAAUUUCUCCCUCUUCCUCCUCCGUUUUUGUUUUUAGAAUUAUCAGGACUAAAAUUUUCUCUCCCUUCUCCAAAAAAUCUCCUCCUCAGCAGAAGUUCAAAAGAAAAUUUAUAUAGGAACGAAAACAGGGUUUAGAAGGGGAAGAGGUGAGGGUAGAAUUAGGUAAGGCCAAGAACCAAUUUAAAUUUUGAAAACCCCAAAUCCUUUUACCAUUUCAGGAUGAAUACUUUUUCUGACGAUUCCAAACCAUUCCGAAACGGGAAAGUAGAAUGGACGACUUGGACUCAACUUCUAUGUCCUUGGCUUCGACGUGUCUUAAUCUCAUGCCACCAGAGGACAAAGGCGUGCUCCUUUUGCUGCUUGGGUCGUACGAAAUGGAAAGGAGCGGGAGGAAGAAAACAAAAAAUCGCAGUGUACUGACCUUUUUAUCCUUGCUCUUCCGUUGUACUCGCUUUCAUUGUUCACGUGUGGUACGCAUCGACACUUUCCGGGUUGUCUCGCUGCACGAGGCGUCGUUCCUCCUCCGUUCGCACCAUUUGGGACUGCUGUUGGUGUCACACUUUUUAAAUUUCUCUUUGGAAUUGGAAAAUAGGUUGGGUCAGGGCAAAUAAGGUGCGAUGGAAUUUGGGUAAUUAAAUGGAAAAAUUACUUAACUAUAUUCCUUUAAUUAUCUUAAGAAUCAUUUAUCUCUACUUAUUAUAAAAUUUUCAAAAAUUUCUUAUUCUCCCCAAUUAAAAAAAUAUGAAAGAUAAUUCUCA
rnacentral:lncRNA from 1 species